CGCUCAAUAUGCAGAGCUGAUGAUCCUACACCUACUACUAGUAUCCAGAGCUCACAAAUUUCACUUUCCUUCAUUUCUUCAAUCUUCGAUCCGCCUCUUUCUCUCUCUUCUCGACUCACUCCAAAGCUUCAUUAGGGUUCGUUCGAACACCGUACCGAAGGUUCUCCGAGCUGAGAGCUCAAAAAAUGAAGAGCAGAAAAAUCCUCAUUGUCGUCGAGGACCUGCGGACAUUCCGGUGCCAAACGCCGUCGUUUCAAAGCGAGCGAGGGCCGCCGCUGCUUCUGUGCCUACAAAAUCUUGGUGUAUCAUAAUCAAUUUAUUGACAUGCCUAUCCUGGUGUAUGUUGGUGUUCAUGUGGCUGUUAUAGCUGGUGUUGCCGUUGGACUUAUCUUUUUAUACUGCCAUCCGAUGGAAGUUGUGCAGAGAGAGAACGCGAUUGCUGAGAUUGCGGUUCUUGGCAACUAUCCUGCUCAUUAGGCAUGGUGCUUCUGAAUUGGGGCUUUGACUGCAAGUUGAAGACGAUUAGUUCCUUGUACAUUGUUGACUUCCCAGAACUGUUAUUUAACGUCGUGGUUGAUCAUGUACCUACUGCUUGUACUAAGUUCUAACUUAGUUGAUGAUACUUUAAUGGAAGUUUACUUCGGAUGACUGUAGUGCAGUAUUUGGCCGGAUAAUGGGUUUGUUAAAGGCUUAUGAAUUCACAGUUUGAUACCACGCAUUGCAGGAGAAAGUCUUUGUUUUUUGUUUUUGCCUUGUCUAACUUGGGUUUAUGUUAAGUUCAUGCUUUCACAGGGACCACUUCAAAAUUGACCGAGUUUCCAAUCUUGUGUUUGGUUACAAGCCCCAAACUUAUGUUUAAAAUUAGGGGUGGGUUCGGUUUGGUUUCGUGCACAAACCGAACUUGAACUUCAGUUCGGUUUGGAUUUUUAUUUUUAAAAAUUCAAAACUAAAAUUGAACCGGUUCAGUUCAGUUCGGGUUUUUUUGGCUUUUGUUAGACUUUCGGCUUGAUUUUUUUUGGUUUUUGGUUUCGCAAACUCACCCCUAAUUUAAACUAAAAUAUCUAUAUUCGCAUACUUAACUAAUAUGUUGGAAUGAUAAACACUUUUUUAUGUCGAGUAAAUAAUUCAUAGAAGCUCGUAACGUUAUGUUGAUACUGGUGUUUUCGUAGCCCCCAUAAUACGAGUAAAUAAUUCAUAGGAGCUAGAAGUCUUGUAGUAUAAUACUAUUCCGUUGGCCAAACACGACCAGUCGUUUUCAAACUCGUACCAAUAAAAGUCUUUACCGCGCACCUUACCUCUCUUUGCUUUUCUGUCAUUUGGGAUCCGAAAAUGGCAGGUGUAAUUGCAUCUGGAUCGAGCCGUCUCUCGAAGCUUCUCAGGCCUCCAUCCACCGACCUCAAGGCCGCCGCCAUGUGGGGCGUCGCCGCCGGCACCGGGGCUCUUUGGUUCGUCCAGCCCUUUGAUUGGUUGAAGAAGACAUUUCUGGAGAAGCCAGAGACCCAAGGGCAGUAAUUUAUGCUUUCACACGGAGCAAUUUUUUCAAGUUUUACCAAACCAAUCAGAGGAGGAGUCGAGGAGAUUCCAUUUGUCUCCAAUAAAAAUUGUUUCUAGUUUGUAGCUCUCCUUGUUGAGGCUUAGAAAUGUUGCAAGGACUUUAAUCUGUUUGCUAUUGGGUUUUUCUUUCAAUUUCCCAUAUUUUCUUUCACUUGCUAUAUAGUUAUCAAUGGAACAGUACUAAUUAGUUAUUUGAUAUUUUUCUUCUCUCUUUUGAUGA